UACGAAGGGGGCUAGCGUUGCUCGGAAUCACUGGGCGUAAAGCGCACGUAGGCGGAUUGUUAAGUUAGGGGUGAAAUCCCAGGGCUCAACCCUGGAACUGCCUUUAAUACUGGCAAUCUCGAGUCCGAGAGAGGUGAGUGGAAUUCCGAGUGUAGAGGUGAAAUUCGUAGAUAUUCGGAGGAACACCAGUGGCGAAGGCGGCUCACUGGACACAUAUUGACGCUGAGGUGCGAAAGCGUGGGGAGCAAACAGG
rnacentral:rRNA from 1 species